rfam:Triticum aestivum genome assembly, contig: Triticum_aestivum_CS42_TGACv1_scaffold_195585_3AL
UAUCUACUCCCUCCGUUCCGAAUUACUUGUCACAUGUAUGGAUGUGUCUAGAUAUAUUUUAAUUGUACAUACAUCCAUUUCUAAGACGAGUAAUUUGGAAUGGAGGGAGUACAUC